GAUGAACGCUGGCGGCGUGCCUAAUACAUGCAAGUCGAACGAGUUCUCGUUGAUGAUUGGUGCUUGCACCGAGAUUCAACAUGGAACGAGUGGCGGACGGGUGAGUAACACGUGGGUAACCUGCCCUUAAGUGGGGGAUAACAUUUGGAAACAGAUGCUAAUACCGCAUAGAUCCAAGAACCGCUUGGUUCUUGGCUGAAAGAUGGCGUAAGCUAUCGCUUUUGGAUGGACCCGCGGCGUAUUAGCUAGUUGGUGAGGUAAUGGCUCACCAAGGCGAUGAUACGUAGCCGAACUGAGAGGUUGAUCGGCCACAUUGGGACUGAGACACGGCCCAAACUCCUACGGGAGGCAGCAGUAGGGAAUCUUCCACAAUGGACGCAAGUCUGAUGGAGCAACGCCGCGUGAGUGAAGAAGGCUUUCGGGUCGUAAAACUCUGUUGUUGGAGAAGAAUGGUCGGCAGAGUAACUGUUGUCGGCGUGACGGUAUCCAACCAGAAAGCCACGGCUAACUACGUGCCAGCAGCCGCGGUAAUACGUAGGUGGCAAGCGUUAUCCGGAUUUAUUGGGCGUAAAGCGAGCGCAGGCGGUUUUUUAAGUCUGAUGUGAAAGCCCUCGGCUUAACCGAGGAAGCGCAUCGGAAACUGGGAAACUUGAGUGCAGAAGAGGACAGUGGAACUCCAUGUGUAGCGGUGAAAUGCGUAGAUAUAUGGAAGAACACCAGUGGCGAAGGCGGCUGUCUGGUCUGUAACUGACGCUGAGGCUCGAAAGCAUGGGUAGCGAACAGGAUUAGAUACCCUGGUAGUCCAUGCCGUAAACGAUGAAUGCUAGGUGUUGGAGGGUUUCCGCCCUUCAGUGCCGCAGCUAACGCAUUAAGCAUUCCGCCUGGGGAGUACGACCGCAAGGUUGAAACUCAAAGGAAUUGACGGGGGCCCGCACAAGCGGUGGAGCAUGUGGUUUAAUUCGAAGCAACGCGAAGAACCUUACCAGGUCUUGACAUCUUUUGAUCACCUGAGAGAUCAGGUUUCCCCUUCGGGGGCAAAAUGACAGGUGGUGCAUGGUUGUCGUCAGCUCGUGUCGUGAGAUGUUGGGUUAAGUCCCGCAACGAGCGCAACCCUUAUGACUAGUUGCCAGCAUUUAGUUGGGCACUCUAGUAAGACUGCCGGUGACAAACCGGAGGAAGGUGGGGAUGACGUCAAAUCAUCAUGCCCCUUAUGACCUGGGCUACACACGUGCUACAAUGGAUGGUACAACGAGUUGCGAGACCGCGAGGUCAAGCUAAUCUCUUAAAGCCAUUCUCAGUUCGGACUGUAGGCUGCAACUCGCCUACACGAAGUCGGAAUCGCUAGUAAUUGCGGAUCAGCACGCCGCGGUGAAUACGUUCCCGGGCCUUGUACACACCGCCCGUCACACCAUGAGAGUUUGUAACACCCGAAGCCGGUGGCGUAACCCUUUUAGGGAGCGAGCCGUCUAAGGUGGGACAAAUGAUUAGGGUG
rnacentral:rRNA from 1 species